rnacentral:rRNA from 1 species
AGUGAACGCUGGCGGUAGGCCUAACACAUGCAAGUCGAACGGCAGCACAGUAAGAGCUUGCUCUUACGGGUGGCGAGUGGCGGACGGGUGAGGAAUACAUCGGAAUCUACUUUUUCGUGGGGGAUCACGUAGGGAAACUUACGCUAAUACCGCAUACGACCUACGGGUGAAAGCAGGGGAUCUUCGGACCUUGCGCGAUUGAAUGAGCCGAUGUCGGAUUAGCUAGUUGGCGGGGUAAAGGCCCACCAAGGCGACGAUCCGUAGCUGGUCUGAGAGGAUGAUCGGCCACACUGGAACUGAGACACGGUCCAGACUCCUACGAGAGGCAGCAGUGGGGAAUAUUGGACAAUGGGCGCAAGCCUGAUCCAGCCAUACCGCGUGGGUGAAGAAGGCCUUCGGGUUGUAAAGCCCUUUUGUUGGGAAAGAAAAGCAGCAGGUUAAUACCCCGCUGUUCUGACGGUACCCAAAGAAUAAGCACCGGCUAACUUCGUG